rnacentral:rRNA from 1 species
ACCUUGGUAGUCCACGCCGUAAACGAUGUCGACUUGGAGGUUGUGCCCUUGAGGCGUGGCUUCCGGAGCUAACGCGUUAAGUCGACCGCCUGGGGAGUACGCCGGCAACGGUAAAACUCAAAGGAAUUGACGGGGACCCGCACAAGCGGUGGAGCAUGUGGUUUAAUUCGAUGCAACGCGAAGAACCUUACCUGCCCUUGACAUUGACAGAACCCUUUAGAGAUAGAGGGGUGCCUUCGGGCCUGGAAAACAGGUGCUGCAUGGCUGUCGUCAGCUCGUGUCGUGAGAUGUUGGGUUAAGUCCCGCAACGAGCGCAACCCUUAUCCUUAGUUGCCAGCGGUUCGGCCGGGAACUCUAGGGAGACUGCCAGCGACAAGCUGGAGGAAGGCGGGGACGACGUCAAGUCAUCAUGGCCCUUAUGGGCAGGGCUACACACGUGCUACAAUGGCCGGUACAGAGGGCUGCAAACCCGCGGGGGGGAGCCAAUCUCAGAAAGCCGGUCGUAGUCCGGAUCGGAGUCUGCAACUCGACUCCGUGAAGUCGGAAUCGCUAGUAAUCGCGAAUCAGCAUUGUCGCGGUGAAUACGUUCCCGGGUCUUGUACACACCGCCCGUAAGCC